GACGAACGCUGGCGGCGUGCCUAACACAUGCAAGUCGAGCGGAGUCAGCAAGAUGAAGUUUUCGGAUGGAAUCUUGUUGAUUUAGCGGCGGACGGGUGAGUAACGCGUGAGCGACCAACCUUGCACAGGGGGAUAACGGACCGAAAGGUUCACUAAUACCGCAUGAGACCACGGUGUUGCAUGACACAGGGGUCAAAGGAGGAAUCCGGUGCAAGACGGGCUCGCGUCCGAUUAGGUAGUUGGAGGGGUAACGGCCCACCAAGCCUAUGAUCGGUAGCCGACCUGAGAGGGUGAUCGGCCACAUUGGAACUGAGAUACGGUCCAAACUCCUACGGGAGGCAGCAGUGGGGAAUAUUGGGCAAUGGGGGAAACCCUGACCCAGCAACGCCGCGUGAAGGAAGAAGGUUUUCGGAUUGUAAACUUCUGUCCUUGGUGAAGAGAAGAAGACGGUAGCCAAGGAGGAAGCCCCGGUAACUACGUG
rnacentral:rRNA from 1 species